rnacentral:rRNA from 1 species
ACUCCUACGGGAGGCAGCAGUAGGGAAUCUUCCACAAUGGGCGCAAGCCUGAUGGAGCAACACCGCGUGAGUGAAGAAGGGUUUCGGCUCGUAAAGCUCUGUUGUUAAAGAAGAACACGUAUGAGAGUAACUGUUCAUACGUUGACGGUAUUUAACCAGAAAGUCACGGCUAACUACGUGCCAGCAGCCGCGGUAAUACGUAGGUGGCAAGCGUUAUCCGGAUUUAUUGGGCGUAAAGAGAGUGCAGGCGGUUUUCUAAGUCUGAUGUGAAAGCCUUCGGCUUAACCGGGAGAAGUGCAUCGGAAACUGGAUAACUUGAGUGCAGAAGAGGGUAGUGGAACUCCAUGUGUAGCGGUGGAAUGCGUAGAUAUAUGGAAGAACACCAGUGGCGAAGGCGGCUACCUGGUCUGCAACUGACGCUGAGACUCGAAAGCAUGGGUAGCGAACAGGAUUAGAUACCCUGGUAGGAUAGCG